rnacentral:miRNA from 1 species
GCCUGAUCCAAAGGCUUUUGAAGUCAAUAGAAAGUGUCCCAUUGAUUUUAAUGGGCUUUGGAUCAGGCUCUAAUUGC